AAACUAACUAGGAUGCCUUCAGUAACGGCGAGCGAAGCAGGCAUAGCUCAAAUUUGUAAUCUGGCGUCUUUGACGUCCGAGUUGUAUUUUCUAGAAGCGAGUUCGGCGACAGCUCCUACCCAAGUCCGUUGGAACGCGGCGUCAUGGAGGGUGAGAAUCCCGUGAAUGGUAGGAUGUCUGCUGCUAUGUGAACCGCCUUCGAAGAGUCGAGUUGUUUGGGAAUGCAGCUCUAAAUGGGAGGUAAAUUUCUUCUAAAGCUAAAUAUUGGCCAGAGACCGAUAGCGAACAAGUAGAGUGAUCGAAAGAUGAAAAGAACUUUGAAAAGAGAGUUAAACAGUACGUGAAAUUGUUGAAAGGGAAGCGCUUGAGAUCAGACUUCCUGUCUGGACUGUCCUUGCUUUUGCAUGGGUCAACAGUCCAGGCGUGGAGGCCAGCAUCAGUUUUGACGGCCGGAUAAAGGCCUUGGGAAGGUAGCUCCUCUCGGGGAGUGUUAUAGCCCAGGGUGUAAUACGGCCAGUUGGGACUGAGGACCGCGGCUUUGCCUAGGAUGCUGGCGUAAUGGUCUUAAGCGAC
rnacentral:rRNA from 1 species